CCCUUCCUCUACUGUUUUCCCUUCUAUUUUUGUGAGAUACUUCCCUUCCCCCCUUUCUCUCUCUCUCUCUCUCUCUCUCUCUCUCCUGUCCACAUAUGAGAAAACACAUUUGAACUUUGACUUCCAUCCCAGCAUUUCUGCCCAAGGGCUCCAGCAGCCUAAGUGUUCUCGGGGCCUCUCGUCAAGGCCUCUUCCUCCUAGGUCUCCUUGGGUUCCCUCAGGUCUCGCUUUACUCCACAGUUCAGGGGCCCAGGCCACCCGCGUGCUCAUAGCCUCUCAAGGCCAAGCCGACAGUCCUACCCAAAGCCUUGACACAGCAGGGACCAGGCAGGGAGGUGGGAAAGGGACACCCCUGCAGGAUCUGAGGGGUGUUGCUCUUGCGCUUGUCUCCCUCCUGGGAAUCAGGUUCAGAAGCUCAUCCCACAGGAACGCCAAAGUCCAGGGACAGUGUCC
rnacentral:lncRNA from 1 species